rnacentral:tRNA from 1 species
UAGAUUGAAGCCAGUUGAUUAGGGUAUUUAGCUGUUAACUAAAACUUCGUGGGUUAGAAGCCCACCAGUCUAG